AGUCUACUCUUUCGCUCAGUUGGUUAGAGUGUAGUGCUGAUAACACGAAGGUUGCAGGUUCGAUCCCUUUAGGGAUUG